AAGGAAUAUUGGUCAAUGGGCGCAAGCCUGAACCAGCCAUCCCGCGUGCAGGAUGAAGGUCCUAUGGAUUGUAAACUGCUUUGAUCAGGGAAGAAACGCCUUCAUUUAUGAGGGUCUGACGGUACCUGAGGAAUAAGCACCGGCUAACUCCGUGCCAGCAGCCGCGGUAAUACGGAGGGUGCGAGCGUUAUCCGGAAUCACUGGGUUUAAAGGGUGCGUAGGCGGGGAAUUAAGUCAGUGGUGAAAGCCUGUCGCUUAACGAUAGAAUUGCCAUUGAUACUGAUUUUCUUGAAUUGGGUUGAGGUUAGCGGAAUGUGACAUGUAGCGGUGAAAUGCAUAGAUAUGUCAUGGAACACCAAUUGCGAAGGCAGCUAACUGGGCCUUGAUUGACGCUGAGGCACGAAAGCGUGGGUAGCGAAC
rnacentral:rRNA from 1 species